rnacentral:rRNA from 1 species
UACGUAGGAGGCGAGCGUUGUCCGGAGUUACUGGGCGUAAAGGGGGUGCAGGCGGUCGUCCGCGUGUGCGGUGAAAUCUCCCGGCUUACCUGGGGGGGGGCCGUGCAGACGGGGCGACUGAAGAGGCUCGCAGAGGGGCGUGGAAUUCCGGGUGUAGCGGUGGAAUGCGUAGAGAUCCGGAAGAACACCAGUGGCGAAGGCGGCCCGCUGGGCAGUGGCUGACGCUGAGGCGCGACAGCGUGGGGAGCAAACAGG